GAGGACGAGACCAGGAGAGAGGCUGGCUCUGACCCUCGCGCCACAUGACACCGCUUCGGAGUAAAAGCCAGUGACCUUGGGGAGUGAGGCCCGGCUCCAGGCUGUCCAUCUGCGGCUCCCAGCAAAGCUCCCCUGUGCCCCGCACCUGGCACCCAGCACAUCCCAGCCUCGGCACACAGCCAAAGCCCCAGCAAAACAACCCGACACAGACCUGCACGCCGACAAACCCACAUCGCGCCGGCUCCCCUCUCGCAGCUCAGCGGGGACCAGGCACCGGGCUAAAUGCUGGUGCAGAAUAGAAAUUUGCCUGCCUUUAAGGCUGAGCCCUGGGGAGUGGCUGGCAGCCCCACGGCGAUGCCCUCUGCAAGCCAUAGCGGGCACGGGGCGCUCAGGCCUCCUGCUCCCGGCGGUGGGGUCCGCACACCCUCUGCAGCUUCCCCAUCUCUACAAAUAUGUUAAUAAAAGAUCGGUUUGCAGACGCAGCUUGCUGUAGAUGACAGCAUUAGAGGCGCAUCUGUUUCUACUAAGCACCAGUUUCGUGCUGGGUUUAUUUGGUCCAUUUGCAGAGGGGAAGAGUUGCUUUCGGCAUUCGGAGAUGU